rnacentral:rRNA from 1 species
UACGUAGGGCGCAAGCGUUGUCCGGAUUUAUUGGGCGUAAAGAGCUCGUAGGCGGUCUGUCGCGUCGGAUGUGAAAACCCGGAACUCAACUCCGGGCCUGCAUUCGAUACGGGCAGACUUGAGUACUGCAGGGGAGACUGGAAUUCCUGGUGUAGCGGUGGAAUGCGCAGAUAUCGGGAGGAACACCAGUGGCGAAGGCGACUACCUGGCCUGUUCUUGACGCUGAGGCGCGAAAGCUAGGGGAGCAAACGGG